CCCGAUUUUGCCCUCAAAUCCUUCCCUCUUUCUCUUUCAUUCUGUCAAAAACUCUGUCUCUCCACUUCCCCAUUCAACUCGUCUUCACCCAUCCCUUCAACCCGUGUUGGUUUUUCGAUUUCUCUUCCAUCAUCGAACACUACUUGCGUUUCUUCUUCUUUCUUCUUCUUUUUUCUUGUUUCUUCUUCUUCUCCAUGUUUCUCUUCGAUUCGGAGUUGAAAUCGUUGUGAAUAGCGUCAGGCGACUUAAACCCCCUUCGAUUUCUGACGUUUUUCUUCUUCUUCUUCUUCUUCUUCUCCGUAUUUGCAUUUUUCCCUUUCCACGAUGUUGUUACCGUAUCUACAUCUCUAUUCACCUUCUUUCUCACUCUCCAAAACCCUUCACGAAUUUAUUGAAGGCUUGGCCGAAAGGUUUUGCCCCCAAAUUCGUUUGGCUUUUCGGUUGUAGGUUUUGUUAAACGGUGGGAGUAUUCUUUGCCUCUGAAAUCCUCAAUCACAUCUUCGAUCGGUGUUCUCCGUCGACAUGCAUGUUGGGGUUUACAAAAUUGGAACUCGCCUUGCCGCUGCACUUGUCGAUUUGUCCGUGGGUGUUUUCGUUACCGAUUUCUCUUUGCCUUCACUUAUUUCGAACCGAUGCUACAUGCCACACCCAUUUUUUAUGGCAUUCGGUAAGCUUGGCGCACCGUAGGGAGAAUAUCUGCGGUCAUCCACCCUUUUAAGAGGGGAACCCAACGGGAAGGUAGGAUUGGAUUGAGCAGAUCAAAGAGAAAUAGGGGAACCCAACGGGAAGGUGAGAUUGAAGUCAUACAUAUGGCCCUCGAGUGUACGAAAUACCAACUCAGGACGAUUGCCGAAUGUGCUUAGAAUUCUUACGUCUAUUGCGUAAGAUGCCGAAACUAACCAAUUUGGAUAGAGCGUUGUGCCAAAGGAACCUGUUGUCUCGUAUGGACGACAUGCAGGGUUUCGUACAGAUGACUGAUGAUGAGAGUCAGAAUUUUUGCAAAGUCCUCCUACGAGACUUGUCCAGAUAGUUUAUGUCCUUCAUUCGGUGACUUGCUUGUUUUUUUCUUACUUCAGUUGGACUAUGUUGUUGACUGUUCUUUGUUUUCAUAUUUUAGCAAACUUUUUUUUCGUAUGUACAGUACUUGGAUCCCUUGAAUGAUUUGUAGCCUGUUUAUGCAUAUGUUUUCUUUUUGUCC